rnacentral:rRNA from 1 species
CGUGUAGGCGGUGCGGUAAGUUGGGCGUGAAAUCCCCGAGCUUAACUCGGGUGGGCCGUUCAAGACUGCCGUGCUAGGGUGCGGGAGAGGGAAGCGGAAUUUCCGGUGUAGCGGUGAAAUGCGUAGAUAUCGGGAGGAACACCUGCGGCGAAGGCGGCUUCCUGGACCGUAACCGACGCUGAGGCGCGAAAGCUAGGGGAGCAAACAGGAUUAGAUACCCUGGUAGUCCUAGCCCUAAACGAUGAGCACUGGGUGUGGCCCCUCACGGGGCCGUGCCGAAGCUAACGCAUUAAGUGCUCCGCCUGGGGAGUACGGUCGCAAGGCUGAA